GUCGAGCGACCGGAUUAACAGCUUGCUCUUAUGAAGUUAGCGGCGGACGGGUGAGUAACACGUGGGUACCCUGCCCAUAAGACUGGGAUAACUCCGGGAAACCGGGGCUAAUACCGGAUAACAUUUUGAACCGCAUGGUUCGAAAUUGAAAGGCGGCUUCGGCUGUCACUUAUGGAUGGACCCGCGUCGCAUUAGCUAGUUGGUGAGGUAACGGCUCACCAAGGCAACGAUGCGUAGCCGACCUGAGAGGGUGAUCGGCCACCCUGGGACUGAGACACGGCCCACACUCCUACGGGAGGCAGCAGUAGGGAAUCUUCCGCAAUGGACGAAAGUCUGACGGAGCAACGCCGCGUGAGUGAUGAAGGCUUUCGGGUCGUAAAACUCUGUUGUUAGGGAAGAACAAGUGCUAGUUGAAUAAGCUGGCACCUUGACGGUACCUAACCAGAAAGCCACGGCUAACUACGUGCCAGCAGCCGCGGUAAUACGUACGUGGCAAGCGUUAUCCGGAAUUAUUGGGCGUAAAGCGCGCGCAGGUGGUUUCUUAAGUCUGAUGUGAAAGCCCACGGCUCCACCGUGGAGGG
rnacentral:rRNA from 1 species